GCACAACCUCUGGUUAUUUACUCUGCUCCUGGGUGCAACUCCCAUGUCACCCUCCAUGGCGGUGUGUCCUUGGGAGUUUAGCUAAGCUACUCCAUGGUAUUGCUGCUUCAGUAAACUUUUUGUUUGGCCACUGCGCCUGUGGGGGCCUUAAACUGCCACUCGCCCCCCCCCCCCCCCCCCCGCAAGUGCAUGCCUUGGUCACCACAGUCACAAGGAAAUGUCAGUUCCUGAUGUAACUUCCCCAACACCCCUUCCGAUCCGAUCAAUGGUCUCCCCUGCCUCCCACAACCUUCCCCUUGUGAGGUCCUUGGACACCUCUGGGACUUGUGUUUUACAAAGUGACCUGCUCUUUUUGGUUUGAAUUGGCCAACCUGGCCUUAGCCCAGGAAUCCCAAAGCACUCUACUCACAGAUGCUCAGGUGCCUCAGGGCCUGCCUCUCUCUGCCUGCGGCCUGCCUUGACCUCCCCAUGUGGCUCCUGGAGGCGUUCCGUGUACCUUUUCCAGGACUUUUUCUAAACAGCUUUAGCUGCUAUAUGGAAUAACUGAUCAGUAUAUGUGAAGUUACACUUUAUUUACAGACCAUACAUUUCAUGAAGAUUUCAGGCAGCAAUGAAAACCUUUUGACUCCUCACUGUGAGGAAAGCAAACGUCAUGUUGUGAAUAGCCCUGUGGAGCAGUCCCUAUGUCAAGGAACUGAGGAAGGCUUCCAGCCUAGAGCCAGAAAGGAACUGAAGCCCUCAGUCCAACAAGCCCAGGAAGAUCCAAAUUCUGCCAACAACCAUGGAAGUGAGCUUGGAAGUAGAGCUGCCGCCAGAUAAGACCGAAGCCCCAGGUGACAGCUUGAUUGCAGCUUUCUAAGAAUCCUUGAGGCAGAGGCACCAGGCUGAGCUACACCUGGAAUCCUGACCAUGGGAUAAUAGUGUUAAGACAUUAAGAAAUGGGGUAUGAUAUUUUUGUGCAUCAAUAACUAGUACACAGUGCGUAUAAAUUUCACUUAAAAUGUGAGUGUAAAAAGUCCCAAUUUUUGUUUAGUUUUGCAUGAAAGAGUAAAAUGCCUCUGAUCAAAAAUCUCCAUAAAGCUUUAAAACAGCCCAUUUGGAGCUACUCCUUGAAUGGCUCUAGGUGUGGUAGAGCCACAAUUGCACACAAAUAUCCCAGAAGUAUCGUUGAAUCAAUAAAUAACUUCCAAGGUUUCUUUGACGCAUAGGUUGCUGUCUACACUUGUCCAGUAUGUAAGACGCCAACAAGCUAUAAUAUUUUUCUAAGAGUUUAUUCCUCUAGUGUCACUGGCAUUGACCUCACCUACUUCCCUCCUCGGUCUGUUUUUGAAAGCGCCUCUAUUAGAAUCAUUACUUAUUUUUUUUUGUAUUAAAAAAACUUUUUUUAAUGUUUACUUAUUUUUGACAGACAGAGAGAGAGACAGAGCAUGAGCGGGGGAGGAG